rnacentral:rRNA from 1 species
GAUGAACGCUGGCGGCGUGCCUAACACAUGCAAGUCGAACGACCAGACAAUGAGCUUGUGCCUCUACCGUUAGCGGCUGACGGGUGGGUAAGGCGUGGAUAAGCUACCUAUAUUACGGGGAGGAUUUCGGAAGGCCGGUUAUGAUACCAGCGCAUAUGUUGAACGGCUGAGAGCAGUAGUUAUUGGCAGUUUUCGCGACUGUAUGAGAUGAUGCCGCGCCGGAUUAGCUAGUUGGUAAGGUAACGGCUAACCAAGGCAACGAUGCGUAGCCGACCUGAGAGGGUGAUCAGCCACACUGGAACUGAGACACGGUCCAGACUCCUACGGGAGGCAGCAGUAGGGAAUCUUCCGCAAUGGGCGAAAGCCUGACGGAGCCAUGCCGCGUGAGUGAUGAAGGCCUUCGGAUUGUAAAGCUCUGUUAUUGGGGAAGAAAAACUGUGUAAGUAACUAUGCACGUCUUGACGGUACCUAAACAGAAAGCAACGGCUAACUUCGUG